rnacentral:tRNA from 1 species
GAAAUACAAGACAUAGAAAAAGCUUCUAACUUUAUCUAAAGCGGUUAAAUUCCGUUAAUAUUUCA